AUUUUGUUUUAGUUUAAAUUUCCUUUUUAAUGUAAAGUUGUCUGUGUAAAUGAUGUUCAUCUGAAGAACAUAAUUAUUGCUUUUUUGCAUAAUCCACUGAUGAGAAGCAUGUCAUAAACCUAUUAGACACAAUUAAGGAUGCAUAUCAUCUCUUUGUCUGCACACAUUUGUCAGGGAUUCUCCUGAUUAAUUUCUCACUCUGUGCAAGGACACGUUCAUGUAAUUACUUGUCAACGAGCAAUUAAAGAUGUAGUUAGGAUCACUUAGGGUUUGUUACGCACAAAAAGUGAUACAGUGAUCAGGUGCGCUGACUGUCUGUCUUUUCUCCUGUAUUUGCUUCAUAAAGUGGUGGUAUUAACCAGAUUUUAGGACAAAAAGCAGCUUUAUAUAUUGUUAAAUUUGGAGUAAGCACAUUGAUAUGAAUGAAGCCUUUCCAUGAAUAUGGAUAGAUAUACUUUAUGAUUUGAGUCUUUGGUGCUAUUCCUUUGUAGUGAGCAAGCACGUGGUGACAGUGGAUAGCAAACUCUCCUUUAAAAAUAAGAAACCUCAAGCAGAACCUCAAAUGACUGGAGAUGACAGAGUAGAAAAUACCAAAGCACUGGUCCUGGUUAUUGGCAGCAAUAGUUCAGCCGUAGGCCUUUCCACAGGAAGGUGUCACAGCUAAACACAAGUCAUAAUUGAGGACUAGUAGAAGCAUAGGCUUUGAUGUAUUCACACAAUGACAUUUACCAAUAGCCCUGACAGUUUUUGAACUUGACUUCUACUUGUUCCCAGCACGUCUUCGAGUUGUUAUUUUUAUGUUCCCUGACAUGUUUUUAAGAUCUUUCACUUCCCUUUCACCUGUGGCUUCACUGUGAUCAAAGGAAAAAAAACACAGAGAAAGGACAAUUAUAUUAACUAUCCAGACAAAUUGCUGCUAUUAGUAAAAAGGUUCUGACAGCAGACUUUAACGAGAUUUAAAUAAUGAACCACAGAGUAACAACUUGGCUGAGAAAUGUCAUCCUCCUUUUUUCAGUCAGUUUUUUUAGUCUUUUAGCACUAAAGGUACUAAUUGGCUUAACUUUUCUAUUUAAGGCAUAUUUCAUUCUUCUUUGUAGCCAUUUUCUCUGGCGUGCUUAUUCAAAAACUUCAUAGGGAAUCUUUUUGAUAUGCAAAUCCUCACAAAGCAACCGAUUGUAGCAGCAUAAAUGGUACGCUGCCACUUUAAGAUCAAUUUCAGCUGCUGCAUAUAAGCAGGUCUCUACCUGUCACAAGACUACUUGCGUCAUGACGUCAACUCAUUUUGCUUAGUUUGUUUGCUGAGCUGUGCUGGCCUCCCUUGCUGUGCCUCCAACUCCUGGACCGAUUUGUUCGGUUGUUUGUUUGCUGCCGGGAAGCUGCGCUCCAUAAGUGACCUUGUGGAUCUGUUUGUCUGGCCGUGUAGUAAUUUACAGCCUCCUGCUGAGUCCCUGACAACUAUUAAAUUUGGACGUACACUCGCUGCUGUUUUGCCUACGAUGAAUUGUUUUAAAAGAUUUGUAUGAACUUUCCCCCGCUGCCGGGAGUAUCGAUGGCACUACGAACGGGAUAAAAAGCAAUAUUUUAGUGCUAUUGUAUCACUGUUUUACUCCUAUUGUUUCAUUUUUUGUCUUUCUUUUAGGGACUGAGGCUUCUGUGGUGGCGGUGGUGACCCCUGGUGGCGGUGUCUUGUCUCGUGUGUUUUGUGGAACACCCCUUUUUUUUGUGUGUGUGUGUUUGCCGUGUCUUUGUAGUGUCCAGGGUGAUCCCUUUUCUUCACUGGAUGUUGCCCCUUUCCUCACUACUCUCCCCCCACUGGGACUGAGGCUUCUGUGGUGGCGGUGGUGACCCCUGGUGGCGGUGUCUUGUCUCGUGUGUUUUGUGGAACACCCCUUUUUUUUGUGUGUGUGUGUUUGCCGUGUCUUUGUAGUGUCCAGGGUGAUCCCUUUUCUUCACUGGAUGUUGCCCCUUUCCUCACUACUCUCCCCCCACUGGUAAGCCUCAGUUUCCUCUGAAAUUUAAACAUUUUAUAAUCAACUUUAUUAAAAAUGCCUUCACUGUUUUAACUAUUCGAUUUCAGGUUAUUGUGAAAUUAAACAACCUAUUAAAGUUUAAUAAAUUUUUUUGUAGAA